rnacentral:rRNA from 1 species
GAUGAACGCUGGCGGCGUGCUUAACACAUGCAAGUCGAACGAAGCACUUUAUUUGAUUUCCUUCGGGACUGAUUAUUUUGUGACUGAGUGGCGGACGGGUGAGUAACGCGUGGGUAACCUGCCUUUUACAGGGGGAUAACAGUUGGAAACGGCUGCUAAUACCGCAUAAGCGCACGGCAUCGCAUGAUGCAGUGUGAAAAACUCCGGUGGUAUAAGAUGGACCCGCGUUGGAUUAGCUAGUUGGUGAGGUAACGGCCCACCAAGGCGACGAUCCAUAGCCGACCUGAGAGGGUGACCGGCCACAUUGGGACUGAGACACGGCCCAAACUCCUACGGGAGGCAGCAGUGGGGAAUAGUGCACAAUGGGCGAAAGCCUGAUGCAGCGACGCCGCGUGAGCGAAGAAGUAUUUCGGUAUGUAAAGCUCUAUCAGCAGGGAAGAUAAUGACGGUACCUGACUAAGAAGCACCGGCUAAAUACGUG